rnacentral:ncRNA from 1 species
GGCUCGGGCGCGGACCUUUGGGUGGGUCCGCAGGAAUGGGGCCCGCUGAGUCCGUUUCGCUUGCGGCAGCGCGGUCGAGGCCCGACGGCACGCGCG